UUCAGGAACUACCAGCUAUGGUUUUCAUGCAGGAACCACAAUGCCAGAUCCCCACAGCUCAUCUUUUCAUCUUGGUUUUGCCACAGAAGAAGCAAAUGUACUUGGUGUGCUGGCUUUUUUCCAUCUUCUUCACCAUUUUCCUGAGGGAGGCACCCUAACGGUUUUCAGGCAGGAACCAC